rnacentral:rRNA from 1 species
AUUGAACGCUGGCGGCAGGCCUAACACAUGCAAGUCGAACGGUAACAGGAAGAAGCUUGCUUCUUUGCUGACGAGUGGCGGACGGGUGAGUAAUGUCUGGGAAACUGCCUGAUGGAGGGGGAUAACUACUGGAAACGGUAGCUAAUACCGCAUAACGUCGCAAGACCAAAGAGGGGGACCUUCGGGCCUCUUGCCAUCGGAUGUGCCCAGAUGGGAUUAGCUCGUAGGUGGGGUAACGGCUCACCUAGGCGACGAUCCCUAGCUGGUCUGAGAGGAUGACCAGCCACACUGGAACUGAGACACGGUCCAGACUCCUACGGGAGGCAGCAGUGGGGAAUAUUGCACAAUGGGCGCAAGCCUGAUGCAGCCAUGCCGCGUGUAUGAAGAAGGCCUUCGGGUUGUAAAGUACUUUCAGCGGGGAGGAAGGGAGUAAAGUUAAUACCUUUACUCAUUGACGUUACCCGCAGAAGAAGCACCGGCUAACUCCGUG